AUUGAACGCUGGCGGCAUGCCUAACACAUACAAGUCGAACGGCAGCACAGCCCGCAAGGGUGGGUGGCGAGUGGCGGACGGGUGAGGAAUACAUGGGACUCUACCCUGUCGUGGGGGAUAACGUAGGGAAACUUACGCUAAUACCGCAUACGACCUCCGGGUGAAAGCGGCGGACCGCAAGGCGUCGCGCGACUGGAUGCGCGCAUGCCGGAUUAGCUAGUUGGCGGGGUAAAGGCCCACCAAGGCGACGAUCCGUAGCUGGUCUGAGAGGAUGAUAAGCCACACUGGAACUGAGACACGGUCCAGACUCCUACGGGAGGCAGCAGUGGGGAAUAUUGGACAAUGGGCGCAAGCCUGAUCCAGCAAUGCCGCGUGGGUGAAGAAGGCCUUCGGGUUGUAAAGCCCUUUUGUACGGGAAGAAAUCCUGUCGGUUAAUACCUGGCGGGGAUGACGGUACCGUAAGAAUAAGCACCGGCUAACUUCGUGCCAGCCGCCGCCGUAA
rnacentral:rRNA from 1 species